rnacentral:rRNA from 1 species
GUGGGGAAUCUUGCGCAAUGGGCGAAAGCCUGACGCAGCCAUGCCGCGUGGAUGAUGAAGGUCUUAGGAUUGUAAAAUCCUUUCACCGGUGAAGAUAAUGACGGUAUCCGGAGAAGAAGCCCCGGCUAACUUCGUGCCAGCAGCCGCGGUAAUACGAAGGGGGCUAGCGUUGUUCGGAAUUACUGGGCGUAAAGCGCACGUAGGCGGACAUUUAAGUCAGGGGUGAAAUCCCAGAGCUCAACUCUGGAACUGCCCUUGAUACUGGCGAUCUUGAGUGUGAGAGAGGUAUGUGGAACUCCGAGUGUAGAGGUGAAAUUCGUAGAUAUUCGGAAGAACACCAGUGGCGAAGGCGACAUACUGGCUCAUUACUGACGCUGAGGCGCGAAAGCGUGGGGAGCAAACAGGAUUAGAAACCCCGGUAGUCC